GAUGAACGCUGGCGGCAUGCCUUACACAUGCAAGUCGAACGGUAACAGGUCUUCGGAUGCUGACGAGUGGCGAACGGGUGAGUAAUACAUCGGAACGUGCCCGAGAGUGGGGGAUAACGAGGCGAAAGCUUUGCUAAUACCGCAUACGAUCUCAGGAUGAAAGCAGGGGACCGCAAGGCCUUGCGCUCACGGAGCGGCCGAUGGCAGAUUAGGUAGUUGGUGGGAUAAAAGCUUACCAAGCCGACGAUCUGUAGCUGGUCUGAGAGGACGACCAGCCACAAUGGGACUGAGAGACGGCACAGACUCCUACGGGAGGCAGCAGGGGGGAAUUUUGGACAAUGGGCGCAAGCCUGAUCCAGCCAUGCCGCGUGCAGGAUGAAGGCCUUCGGGUUGUAAACUGCUUUUGUACGGAACGAAAAGACUCUGGUUAAUACCUGGGGUCCAUGACGGUACCGUAAGAAUAAGCACCGGCUAACUACGUGCCAGCAGCCGCCGUAAUAC
rnacentral:rRNA from 1 species